rnacentral:misc_RNA from 1 species
UCGGAGAAGCGGGUAGCUGAGG